rnacentral:rRNA from 1 species
AUUGAACGCUGGCGGCAUGCCUUACACAUGCAAGUCGAACGGCAGCACGGGUGCUUGCACCUGGUGGCGAGUGGCGAACGGGUGAGUAAUACAUCGGAACGUACCUUAUCGUGGGGGAUAACGCAGCGAAAGCUGUGCUAAUACCGCAUACGCCCUGAGGGGGAAAGCGGGGGAUCGAAAGACCUCGCGCGAUUAGAGCGGCCGAUGCCUGAUUAGCUUGUUGGUGGGGUAAAGCCCACCAAGGCGACGAUCAGUAGCUGGCCUGAGAGGACGAUCAGCCACACUGGGACUGAGACACGGCCCAGACUCCUACGGGAGGCAGCAGUGGGGAAUUUUGGACAAUGGGGGCAACCCUGAUCAAGCAAUGCCGCGUGAGUGAAGAAGGCCUUCGGGUUGUAAAGCUCUUUUGUCAGGGAAGAAACACCGGCUCUAACACAGUCCGGGAAUGACGGUACCUGAAGAAUAAGCACCGGCUAACUACGUGCCAGCCGCCGCCGUAA